UGAAGAAUGGAGUCUCUAUGUUUAGAACGUAACAAAGAUGAGACCGGGCAGACAUUCUUCAGUCAAGUUCAACUCAGUGGUCCACAGGGGAGCUAUCUUUGUUGUCCAAGCUAUUAAGAUACAUUUAUGAGCCAGCAUCAGUAAAUAAAGAAAGCAAGCUGCAUCUGUCCCCCAGCACUUGAGGUCACUGAGCAAUUCCAAAACCUCCUGGCAUCAUUUUUCACUGACACUGACUUACCACUGCCUGCAAAUGCUGGAUACUGCCUUUGAACCCCACUUUGACAACCAGUAGGAAAACAUCCUUAGGGAAAGAAUGCUGCCUUGGAUGAAAGCACAGCCCAUUGAUGGCUCUGGUAACCUUUCCAUACCAUCGCUUCUUCAAAAAUCUCCUGUAGAGGGAGAAAGAAGGAACUCCAUAGAGAAUCCCCUCAGUCACUGAGAAGGACAGUAGAAUGAUUCAGUUAGGGAGAUACUGGUUACUCUUUAAUUACUGCUCUGGUUCUAUUGCCGCUGAAAAAGUUGACACAGCUCCCCCUUUUUAAGCUUGAUAAUGAUGGAAUGGUUUGCAAAUUUGAUCUUCCCACUUUUUACAGUUUCAACCCUAUUUUCUGAAGCUCAGGUUGACUUUUCGAAGUGCAAGGCUGACAUGAGAUCCAAUAUAACACAGUGGGGAACUAGUGAAUUCUUUUACCCAAAAUUGGAGCAG
rnacentral:lncRNA from 1 species